rnacentral:rRNA from 1 species
ACAGGGAUUGCCCUAGUAACGGCGAGUGAAGCGGCAACAGCUCAAAUUUGAAAUCUGGUCUCUUCGGGGCCCGAGUUGUAAUUUGCAGAGGGAGUUUCGGGCGCGGCGUGGGUCUAAGUCCCUUGGAACAGGGCGUCGCAGAGGGUGAGAAUCCCGUAUGUGACCGGCGACCAAGCCCGUGUGAAACCCCUUCGACGAGUCGAGUUGUUUGGGAAUGCAGCUCUAAAUGGGUGGUAAAUUCCAUCUAAAGCUAAAUACCGGCCAGAGACCGAUAGCGCACAAGUAGAGUGAUCGAAAGAUGAAAAGCACUUUGGAAAGAGAGUCAAACAGUACGUGAAAUUGUUGAAAGGGAAGCGCUUGCGACCAGACCCGCCUGGAGGCGAUCAGCGGCCGUUCUCGGCCGUGCACUCGUCUUCAACCGGGCCAGCAUCGGUUCGGGCGGUCGGACAAAGGCUCGGGGAAUGUAGCUCCCUCCGGGGAGUGUUAUAGCCCCUUGUGCAAUGCGGCCAGCCCGGACCGAGGACCGCGCUUCGGCAAGGAUGCUGGCGUAAUGGUCGUCAGCGACCCGUCUG